rnacentral:sRNA from 1 species
GCCACGCCCGAAGUCGUUACCCUAACCGCAAGGAGGGGGAUGCCGAAGGCAGGGCUAGUGACUGGGGUGAAGUCGUAACAAGGUAGCCGUACCGGAAGGUGUGGCUGGAUCACCUCCUUUUAGGGAGACCCUUUGCCAGCAGCAACCCAAAAAAAACGCUGUCUGAGCGAACAAUCCCAAGGUCGUGCCAGAAAAGAGUAAGCUUUCCAACUAACGAAGGGUUCGAGUUCUAAUCAGAACUAAACAAGCACCUUGAAAACUGCAUAGAAAAUAGAUAGAGAAAAACUGAUAGAUCAGAUUUAUUUGAUUAAACAGGUCAAGCUACAAAGAGCUAACGGUGGAUACCUAGGCACACAGAGG